GCCGACAGCGCGGUGUUUUCUGGGUAACGCGGUUCAAAGGUCAUCAACAUUGAGCAACGACAGACAGAACCGCGAGACACAACCAGGGAUCAUCUGGCCAGAGCUCAAUGACUAACCACAGGGGAUCUCAUUAGGACGAAGCACAAACAGACAGGUGCAAACAGACCCCAGCCCUUGCAUCACCACUGGACCCCAGAGCAGCUCCCUACCUGAGGCUAGUCCGAGUCAGUGUGGUCAGACUUCACAAGGACCCAGUCUACCACCACCAGGUCAGAGCAUCUUGAUGAUUUUGUCAGAUUAAGCUUCACUUUAAAAUGUUGGUUGUUGAUUCAUGUGUGUUCUUGUUUUGAUGGCUGUGGCAUUUUUAUUGUGAUUAUACUGUCACGCCCUGGCCUUAGUAUUCUUUGUUUUCUUUAUGUUGUUUAGUUAGGUCAGGGUGUGACAUGGGGAAUGUAUGUGUUUUGUAGUGUCUAGGGGUGUUGUAUGUGUAUGGGGCAGAGUAGAGUGUAGUUGUCUAGUUAUGUCUAUGGCUGCCUAGAUUGGUUCUCAAUCAGAGACAGGUGUCAUUCAUUGUCUCUGAUUGGGAGCCAUAUUUAAGGCAGCCAUAGGCAGUAGGCUUUUGUGGGUAGUUGUCUAUGUUCAACGUUUGUAGCUUGUGUGUGCACUAACGUUUGUAGCUUCACGGUCGUUUGUUGUUUCAGUUUAUGUAUAGUGUUCGUUUCGUGUUUUCUCUCUUCUAAAUAAAAGAAGAUGUAUUUUCCACACGCUGCGCCUUGGUCCUCUCUCUCACCCAUAGACGAUCGUGACAUAUACACUAAUGGUACUGAUGUCUUGCUCAGACCUCUGGCGUUGAGCAAGACAGUGAGCCAGAGCUGCCAGGAGAUGUCAUCGAGCCCCUCCCAACUGCAUCAAGCACCAGAUAUACAGUUCCAAAAGGACCCAAUGACAUUUCAAGGUCCAGAGAAGAGGGUCCUGUACAGCCAUGUUUGAAAACCUUUCCCAGAGCUCAGCAUGGUACUACUAGGAAAAGGGCUUUCAACAGCUCCUGGUAUAAGGACAAUUCAUGGCUUGAAUAUUCUGUAAGUCAAGAUUCGACUUAUUGUUUUGUCUGUAGGCAUUUUUCUCUGCCCAAUACACCUGAAUCUGCCUUCACAUCAGUCAGGUUUUUGUAACUGGCACUGUUUAAAGAUUCUGGGUUUAAGCUCCAUUCCAAGGCAGAGCAUCAUAUCAAUGCUAUGUGUGCUUGGAAUCAGCAUAAAAUGGCUAUUGACAGCAACUCAUCAAUGUUAGAUGUCAUAAAUGAGGACUUCAAAAAGAAAGUGGAGGAAAAUUGUACUUACAUUAAAACAAUUGCAGAUGUGCUCCUAUUAACUGCCUCUCAAAAUAUAGCACAGACAGGUCAUCGAGAGUCUGAUGACUCUCACAAACAAGGGUCAUUUUUUGACAAUCUUAGAAGAAAUAGCAAAGCAUGACCCUCUCAAAGAGAAAAAGAUGAAUGCAUGUGGCAAUGCUACACAAGCCACCAAAUCCAGAAGGAAGUUCUUGAGGGCUGAGCUGAGAUGGUACAAAGUGAACUAAUAAGAGAAGUAAAAGAAAGUGAAGUUUUUAGUGGAAUUGCAGAUGAAACCAAAGAUUUAAAGAAAAAAGAACAAAUGUCCUUUGUUGUGAGGUACUAUUACAACGGGGACAUCCACAAAAGCUUUUUACACUUUCAGUCAGCUGAAAGCUUAGAUGAAGCAUGAUAAAUCUGGUAGUUCACUCUGGUAGACCUACAUUAUGAUCAAAUAGCCACAGUACUCUACUUGGCCACUGUUAAAACUGUAACUUAAAGCGGGUACAGCCUCAGUGUUCACAGGAAAAGCACACUGGAAGUUGCACAACGUUCAAGUUUGCACUCAGCAGAGCUGAAAUUUGCUCAGUGCCCCCCAAAAAUGUGACUUGUCCCAUGUUCUGAUCAUAGUCACUCCAUGUCGUCGUUUCAUGUUGAGUUCCUUAAUGCCGUGACGUGCUUCCAUAAAGCCUAAACAACAUUGUAGCACAUCUGUCCUAUAAACAGUGACGGAACUAGAAUUUUCUACAUGGGGUGGCCCCUACUUCAGGGGUCCAUAGACCAUGACAUAAAAUGUGUGUGUAACCCUAACCUGGCAUCUAAUGAGCAUGAAUGAGUCCUAUGAUUGCUGAUUAGAGGUAGAGGUGAUAAUUCACUGAACCCGGAGUUCUUCAAUGUGGCAGAUAGUGUGGUCCAAAAGGGUUGCUUCACUAGAAUUCUUUAACAUACUAUGAAUAGUCAGUGUGUCUGCCUCGGAACUGCAGCUCAGUUUCUCUCUCUCUCACAUUCACACACACACACACACACUGUACUCACAUACUGGAGAGA